rnacentral:rRNA from 1 species
AUUGAACGCUGGCGGCAGGCUUAACACAUGCAAGUCGAGCGGGGGAGGUUGCUUCGGUAACUGACCUAGCGGCGGACGGGUGAGUAAUGCUUAGGAAUCUGCCUAUUAGUGGGGGACAACAUUCCGAAAGGGAUGCUAAUACCGCAUACGCCCUACGGGGGAAAGCAGGGGAUCUUCGGACCUUGCGCUAAUAGAUGAGCCUAAGUCGGAUUAGCUAGUUGGUGGGGUAAAGGCCUACCAAGGCGACGAUCUGUAGCGGGUCUGAGAGGAUGAUCCGCCACACUGGGACUGAGACACGGCCCAGACUCCUACGGGAGGCAGCAGUGGGGAAUAUUGGACAAUGGGCGGAAGCCUGAUCCAGCCAUGCCGCGUGUGUGAAGAAGGCCUUUUGGUUGUAAAGCGCUUUUGUCGGGGAAGAAAUCUUCUGGGCUAAUACCCGAGGAGGAUGACGGUACCCGAAGAAUAAGCACCGGCUAACUACGUGCCAGCCGCCGCAGUAAAAC